rnacentral:rRNA from 1 species
GACGAACGCUGGCGGCGUGCUUAACACAUGCAAGUCGAACGGAAAGGCCCUGCUUUUGUGGGGUGCUCGAGUGGCGAACGGGUGAGUAACACGUGAGUAACCUGCCCUUGACUUUGCGAUAACUUCAGGAAACUGGUGCUAAUACCGGAUAGGAGCUCCUGCUGCAUGGUGGGGUUUGGAACGUUUCGGCGGUUGGGGAUGGACUCGCGGCUUAUCAGCUUGUUGGUGGGGUAGUGGCUUACCAAGGCUUUGACGGGUAGCCGGCCUGAGAGGGUGACCGGCCCCAUUGGGACUGAGAUACGGCCCAGACUCCUACGGGAGGCAGGAGUGGAGAAUAGUGCACAAUGGGCGGAAGCCUGAUGCAGCAACGCCGCGUGCGGGAUGACGGCAUUCGGGUUGUAAACCGCUUUCGCCUGUGACGAAGCGUGAGUGACGGUAAUGGGUAAAGAAGCACCGGCUAACUACGUG